GAGUUUGAUCAUGGCUCAGAUUGAACGCUGGCGGCAGGCCUAACACAUGCAAGUCGGGCGGUAGAGAGAAGCUUGCUUCUCUUGAGAGCGGCGGACGGGUGAGUAAUGCCUAGGAAUCUGCCUGGUAGUGGGGGAUAACGCUCGGAAACGGACGCUAAUACCGCAUACGUCCUACGGGAGAAAGCAGGGGACCUUCGGGCCUUGCGCUAUCAGAUGAGCCUAGGUCGGAUUAGCUAGUUGGUGAGGUAAUGGCUCACCAAGGCGACGAUCCGUAACUGGUCUGAGAGGAUGAUCAGUCACACUGGAACUGAGACACGGUCCAGACUCCUACGGGAGGCAGCAGUGGGGAAUAUUGGACAAUGGGCGAAAGCCUGAUCCAGCCAUGCCGCGUGUGUGAAGAAGGUCUUCGGAUUGUAAAGCACUUUAAGUUGGGAGGAAGGGCAGUAAAUUAAUACUUUGCUGUUUUGACGUUACCGACUAGAAUAAGCACCGGCUAACUCUGUGCCAGCCGCCG
rnacentral:rRNA from 1 species